AACGAAGUACUACAGUAUGUCUAGUUAUGCUGUAUGUCGAAUGGUACUAUCACAUAGUCCCGGUAUACCCAUUCAAGUAAGGAAUGUUUGCAACAUGGCUUCGUGCUGGUGUCAAAGCCCCUGAAUGAUGUGGACGCGAUUGUAGCCGUAUUGAGUUCUACUCGAUGAGAAUGAGAUGAAUUCAACGGGGAACUGACUGUAGGCAAUCGAUUGUCCUGACAUCAUUUGCAU
rnacentral:rRNA from 1 species